rnacentral:lncRNA from 1 species
GAGGAUAAGGUAGGGAGGUGAUUCUGGGGCUGAAGAUGAAGAGGAAGUGGUUUGGUUCAUUUCUUCAGCUUCAGAUAGAGGUAGUGAUGUAUAGGCAAGAUUAAAUUUGGGUAGAGGUUGUGAGGUUCUGGUUGUAGAAGGUGGGGUUUCAGAGGAUGUGUAUAUAGGUGGUGUUGGGAGAGGAUUAGAGGAAACCAUAGGAGGUUCAGAGGGAAUAGAGGGAGCAGACUUACCAGUAGUUACUUGCAGAGGCGCUGGAGAUCUUGUUUCAGAAGUUUCUCCUAGCCUAGCUUUCUUUGCCUUUGAAGACUUCUUUUUA